GGAUAUGAAGGUGAUCUGGCUGAGACAUCUGUCACCCCAUUGAUCCCCAGGGUUUAUUUGGCUGAUCUGGCUGGCUAGGUAGGUGUCCCCUUCCUCCCUCACUGCUCCAUGUGCAUCCCUCCCGAAGCUGCGCACUGGCCUUUCCCGAAUAGAGACCAACUGGUCUUCGGUUGAGGGUAUACAAGUAGCUGUCCUCCCCUGCUGAACCUUCAAACAAAAAAUACUAGUCUUCAAUAAAUACUUGCGGUACCAUAAAUGUCAAUAUAUAGGUUCAAAACCAUUGAUAAGCAGUGUUU
rnacentral:snRNA from 1 species